rnacentral:piRNA from 1 species
GACACAGGACACUUCUGGUGUGUAUGUAUG